rnacentral:rRNA from 1 species
CCCCUAGAUGUUCUGGGCCGCACGCGCGCUACACUGAACAGUUCAACAAGUCUUAACCUUGGCCGAUAGGUCUGGGUAAUCUUUGAACGCUGUUCGUGAUUGGGAUAGACCUUUGCAAUUAUGGGUCUUCAACGAGGAAUUCCUAGUAAACGCAAGUCAUCAGCUUGCAUUGAUUACGUCCCUGCCCUUUGUACACACCGCCCGUCGCACCUACCGAUUGAAUGGUCCGGUGAAAUCUCGGGACGGCGGCUUGGUCGCUUGCGUCCGACUGCUGAAACUUGAUUAAACCAUNUNAUUUAUNGGAAGGUGAANUCGUANCA